rnacentral:rRNA from 1 species
GAGUUUGAUCCUGGCUCAGAAUCAACGCUGGCGGCAUGCCUAACACAUGCAAGUCGAACGCGAAAGUCCUUCGGGAUGAGUAGAGUGGCGUACGGGUGAGUAACGCGUGGGUCAUCUCCCUUCGGGUGGGGAAUAACUCAGGGAAACUUGAGCUAAUACCGCAUAAUACGGAAACGUUAAAGCAGCAAUGCGCCUGAAGAUGAGCCUGCGUCUGAUUAGCUAGUUGGUGGGGUAACGGCUCACCAAGGCGACGAUCAGUAGCCGACCUGAGAGGGUGGUCGGCCACACUGGCACUGAAAUACGGGCCAGACUCCUACGGGAGGCAGCAGUGAGGAAUUUUGGGCAAUGGGCGAAAGCCUGACCCAGCAAUGCCGCGUGAACGAUGAAGUCUUUCGGGAUGUAAAGUUCGUAAGCAGGAGAAGAAUACAUGACGGUAUCCUGUGUAAGCCCCGGCUAACUCCGUGCCAGCAGCCGCGGUAGCUAAAUC